rnacentral:rRNA from 1 species
UGGGGAAUAUUGCACAAUGGGGGAAACCCUGAUGCAGCGACGCCGCGUGAAGGAAGAAGUAUCUCGGUAUGUAAACUUCUAUCAGCAGGGAAGAUAGUGACGGUACCUGACUAAGAACGCCCCGGCUAACUACGUGCC